GCAAUACCUAGUGGCGGACGGGUGAGUAACGCGUGGGAAUCUGCCCAAGGGUGGGGGAUAGCAGACCGAAAGGUCUAUUAAUACCGCAUAUGCCGUGAGGUAAAAGGAGUAAUCCGCCCCUGGAUGAGCCUGCGUCCGAUUAGCUAGUUGGUAGGGUAAAAGCCUACCAAGGCUACGAUCGGUAGCUGGUCUGAGAGGAUGAUCAGCCACAAUGGGACUGAGACACGGCCCAUACUCCUACGGGAGGCAGCAGUGGGGAAUUUUACGCAAUGGGGGAAACCCUGACGUAGCGACACCGCGUGAGCGAAGAAGCCCUUUGGGGUGUAAAGCUCUGUCAGCAGGAACGAAUAAAUGACGGUACCUGCAGAGGAAGCAUCGGCUAACUACGUGCCAGCAGCCGCGGUAAGACGUAGGAUGCGAGCGUUGUCCGGAUUCAUUGGGCGUAAAGAGUUCGUAGGCGGUUUGUUAAGUCUGAUGUUAAAGAUCGGGGCUCAACUCUGGGAGUGCAUUGGAUACUGGCAGACUGGAGUGCAGUAGAGGCGAGUGGAAUUCCCAGUGUAGCGGUGAAAUGCGUAGAUAUUGGGAAGAACACCGGUGGCGCAGGCGACUCGCUGGGCUGUAACUGACGCUGAGGAACGAAAGCUAGGGGAGCAAAUGGGAUUAGAUACCCCAGUAGUCCUAGCUGUAAACGAUGGAUACUAGGCGUUGCAGGUAUCGACCCCUGCAGUGCCGCAGUUAACGCGAUAAGUAUCCCGCCUGAGUAGUACGGCCGCAAGGUUGA
rnacentral:rRNA from 1 species